ensembl:lncRNA
AGAAAAUGUAGACCUAAAUCUGAGCUUUGGUUAUCUAUCUUUCCCCUCUGAAGAAUGUGUGGUUUUAUUCAGCUUUCAUCUUAUUUCAUUAGUCUCUCCAGGAGUUGCUACAGGCAAGAAAAACAUCACAAACUGGCAUUCAGUCCAGUGAGAACAAGAUUAUUAUUUAUUGGUGUCCAAUCACAUAGGAAGUAAUGUGUUUUUCAUAGCUGUUGCCAGCAGUGAACUCAAUGUAUUUUACACAAUACAAUAGCUGUCAGAAUAUUUUCACUGUUUACACACCAUUACAGUUUUCAGGAUAUUUUUGUCAUCAAAGGCAUGCCCAAAGAAAUCUACAUUUGAAUGUCCAAGAAGCCCAGGUUUCAUUUUAGUCAACUAACACCAAGUGAUAAAAUAACACCUUGUCACUUGAUGUGGGAUAAGGGCUCUGAAAAGAUGCAUGUAAUUGGUGCUACAUCUUAUUUUCUGCAUAUGCUUAAGAUGAUAUUCGCUUUGAAACUUUACAUAAAUAUUAAACAUUGACAACUUGUGUGUCCGAAAAUAAUAUUCGGGUAUUAGUAUUAAUUUGAUAAAAGUAAUUCCGCAUUUAAAUAUUUGAGUAUGCCGGAAUGUAAAAAUCCGCACAAGAGCCAUCUCUCUUUUCUUUUUUCUUUUUUUUGCAUAAUAAAAACUGCUAUCGACUCAUCAAUCUAGAAUGAUUUGACGUUUGUGUAUUAACUGACACUCUUUGGUAGUUCAUGAAAGUGAAAUAAAGUAUAUGAAUGUGUUUGAGUUAGCUAUCUUUAAAUUAGCAUUUAUUUAAUGUUAGUUAACUAAUGUUUUUUCCCAGUUCUCAAGAAGAUGUAAAUUUAAAAGGUUAAAUUUGUUUGUUUUGGAGUGAGAACUUUUCUGUGGCUGAGACCUUUUCUGUUGAAAUUAUAGUGCACUACAUAGGUUAUACAAUGUCAUCAUUUUAUGCCCUAUGUAGUUCUCAUAUACAGUCUGAUAAAUAAAUAUUUGGACAAUGACAAAGUUUUUUAUUUUAACUGUCAACCACAGUAUAUAAUUGUUGACAUUAAAUACUGAAUAUGAGGUCAAAGUGCAGACUUUCAUAUUUAAUUUGGGUGUAUUUACAUUCAAAUCGGGUGAAUGGUGUAGAAAUUUUAAUAUGUGGAUGCCCCCCUUUUUAAAGGACCAAAAGUAACUGUAACUUGGACUGUAUUGGAGUAGUAAUUGGCUGCUCAUCUGUUCCAUGGCCUGGUGUGUUAUUCCCACAUUAUUUCACUUACAAGUAAGCAGAUAAAUGGUCUAGAGUUGAUUUCAAAUGUGGUAUUUGCAUUUGGAUUCAGUUGCUGUUAACUCUUAGUAUGAAGUCCAAAGAGCUGUCACUGCCCAGGAAAGCAAACCAUCCAUAGGCUGAAUAAUCAAAAUAAACCCAAAUCAAGUAUUUGGUACAUUCUUAAAAAGAAGGAAUGCACUGGUGAGUUUAUUAACACCAAAAAGCCUGGAAGACCACAGCAAACAAGUGUGGUAGAUGACAGAAAAAUUAUUUCACACCAGUUGGUCAGAUCAAGAACACCCUCCAGGAGGUAGGCAUAUUUUUGUGAAAGUCAGCAAUCAAGACUUCACCAGAGUAAAUACAGAGGGUUUACUGCAAGCUGUAAACCAUUGGUAAGCCUCAAAAACUGGAAGACCAGUAUACAAUUUGGAAAAACGAACAUAUAGUUCUGGAACAAUAUCCUAUGGACAAUAUCCUAUUGAGACAAAGAUCAACUUGUGCCAGAAUGGUGGGAAGCGAAGUGUAUGGAGAGGGGAAGGAACUGCUUAUAAUCCAAAGCAUACCACCUCAUCUUAUGACCGACAAAAGCAGCAGAAUGAAUUCUGGUGUGUAUACAUAGCACUAUAUUAUCUGCUCAGAUUCAGCCAAAUCGUUCAAAACUCUUUGGAUGUUGCUUCAAACUACAAAUGGAUAAUGAACCGAAGCAUACGCCGAAAGCAAGCCAAUAUUUUAUUUUAUUUUUUUAUUUUUUUAAAGAAGAAGCGUUUGUCACCCAUACUUUACAGUACAGUGAAAUUCUUUUCUUCGCAUAACCCAGCUUGUUAGGAACCUGGGCUGAGAGUGGGUGAAAUGCGCUGAAAGUCACUUUAGCUCAUAUUCAUUAUGUGAUUUCAACUGCAAUAGACUGUGAUAGACAAGUCAAAUAACAAUAACUCUGUCGAUGCCCAAAUAUUUGUCAACUUGACUGUAUUCCACCAAUUUACCAUUUGGUAACAUAUAGUAAGCCUCAACUGCAAUAUUUAAAUAAAAUUUUUAUUUUAUUUUUUAUUUUAUUUUAAAGUAUUCCUUCGUGAUACGAACAGCUUGUCACUAAUCAAAUACUACACAUUUUUUCUAAUGAAUAUUUGAAGGCAGUUUUAAGUUUUUAUUGACAUCCAGUAACAGUACUACGCAUGCAGCAUCUUCCAAAAAUUGGAACUGGAGGUGGGGUGUGGGUGAGAUGGAAAAUACCAAACAAUAAACAUAUAAAUGCCCGUUUCUGACCUGCCAACCUUUACACAUUUUAUGUGGGAGGAAAAUCUGUCAGAAACAGCACUUUCCUUUUUUCCCUGAAUAAAAAUGGCAGAUGGACCAAUUAACAUAUGAAUCUGGAAUGACUGACAGCUGCACAGGUGUUUUGAGUUAUUGAGCUUGAAAGAUCCACUGACACUCUUGCUUUCUGCAACAGUAAAUAAUUCAUUACCAUGUUUGUUUUUUUGUUUUUUUUUAGUUCAGUAAUGUUAACAUCAGUUAAGUGUAUACAUCAAAAACUGGGAAGUGGGGCUUAUGGGGAAAAAAAGUUUGAAUACAUCUGCUUUAGGUAAUUGGGCUGAAAGACAUAAUGACACUGAGUUGUAUUUAAAUAAAAGUGCUUCAUGAGACAGCUGCUUUAAUACUUUAUUUCACAAAGGAUUAGCGCUCCAUAUUUGGGUGAUUUUGGUAAUAGGUAGGAUUAAUGUAAGCAACUACUAGCUUGCUGUAGCAAAUCAAUUUAUUAUUUAAUAAUUAUUAUUAUUUAUGUUGUGUCCACCAAAAAGACAAAGAUGAUUUUCUUUUAUUCAGUCCAUACAGGAUUUUGCUGAAUUUUUUCAUAAAUAAUUUUUUUUACAUGCUUGAUUUUGCUGCGGCUUUCUUCAAAAUUUGUGAUGCAACUUGCAGAGUUUUUUGUAAACCCCCCCCCCCGAAAACAACCUGAAUUGGCGAAAUUUGAAAUUGCACUAUUCAAAUAGUUUGGCACGGUCCUUGAGUGAUGCUUGUUGGUAAAUGAUAGCUUUAGCUGUGCUCAUUUUCGACCUGCGUGAAUCAAAGAGGGCUUUGGCUGAAUGCACGUUGUGAUGAAGUCACAUGACAUGUCUUGGCCCAAUAUUGCGGCAACUUUGAAUAUUGUGAAGGUUGUUUGGUUUUUCCGUUAAUUUUGCAAUCACAAACUGUUUAUUUGCGGCAGUGUCUUAAAUGUGUUACUUUUGAAAUGUACAGGUUAAUCAGAUGAUCCAGAUUUUCUGAACUGGUGACUAGUCAACUCUGAAGUGUUGUGUUUUUAUGCAUAUUUUCCAAUGUAGAUCCUGGGUUUCUACACAUUUUUCUUCUAUACAUCAUGCAGUGAUGAGCGUUCAUCGUUCAGUGACGAGCGCUCAUUCACUCAUUGUCAACCUGAACACACUGUUAAUGCAGUAUCAUAUGUGUUAUACAGUAUAUUACACAAACAUGAUUCAUAACCAUGUCAUUAUAAGACAUAUCAAUCAGUUUUGUUAAAAUGCAUAUUUUAUUCUAAUGGAAAUGCCUUCCAGUAGUGCACUUCCUGAACGUGUUCCCCCUUAUGACUGGCCUACAUACAGAAUAUGUCCACAUUCUCAUUUUCCUCAUCCUCUGCUUUACACUUUGUUCCUAGUGUGGCCUAUCAAUCUUUUUUUUCCCUACAUACAUAACUCUAAGAACCCAUAAUGAGUAGAACUAUAACUAGCCCCAUGUGCUGAAUAUUUUAUGUCUUUUCAUGUUUGAAAAUAGCUUAGUGGUCCUUAAAGCAGAGGACGAGACAAAGAAUAAUCUGCCAGAGUCUUGCACAUGAAAAUGGACGUUCUUAAAUAUUUUAGGACCUCAUCAGUAAAUUAGACAAGAGGGCAUGCAAAUACUAAAAAAAAAGAGAAGGAGGGCGAGGAUAUCGUGCAAGAUGAAUGAAAGAAUGAAGAUGAAUCUCUAAUGCACUGGGUGUAUAAAUAGACUUCGACAUCUGACGUGUAACGACUUCCUCUCAUUACUAUAAUUGAGUUCAUAAUUGAGUGACCCUUCCUUUCUUUGAUCCAAAGUGACCUCCUUGAAGGGGAUUCACAAAAUCUAAAAUUUGAGCGAAGAAAACAAAAAAAAAAAUUAAAUGUCGGAGCAGAAUUUGUUUUAAUCAGGUUUGGAGGCACAUAUUAAACAUUACGUCCACAGUUACCCUCCAUUUAAUCUUCAGCGCAUGAUGGUCUGUUUUUCCCUUUAAUAAUUAUUUAGAUUGUUAUUCCAUUUACAUAUUUAUCUUUAGAUAGUUAGAUCAACUCACUUUAGCCUGUCGGCAUGGGAACGUUUAGAUAGUAGGGACGUGCCUUCAGUCUCGUUUUAAGACUUGAAAAUCUGUAAGAGCUGAUGGAGGGAUGGAUAUUCAGCUAACUGUUAGGAGAGGGGAAAUAUUUUGUGUUUUUGUUUGACAGACUUAAUGUUAAGAUGGAAGGGACAGAAACGUUAAAUGCACAGCAGAAGUUUUACUGAGUAUUCCUUGAGCCCAACUGCAGCAGCAUGUCAUUGUUAAACUUCACGCUUUGUCAAAGUCAUACCUACCAAAUUUCAUAGGCUUAAUGAAGUUUGUGAUCACAGUGGUAAUGCAUGUUUUAUAUAAAUCUAUCAGUACAGAUAUUUGCAUGUUAUAGCCUAUUUACUAAACCAGGGAAUGAAUCGUAUGUGAUGCUCCAUAUGAGAGCAGUGACCGGUAUAAACUGUUAAUGCGUUGCGGAGUUGUUGAGACGUGCUGCUCGCAGUGUCACUUCUGGUGUAAAAUAGGCUUAAUCUGCAAACCUGAUGUACCCGGUUAGUGUCCGCUGAAAUUAAAUGAGUAUACCAAAUGUUAUUUCAAAAUAUAUCAUCUCUUAUCCCACAAGCUUCAUAUCUAACCACACGCAUGAGAAUUUAAAAAAAAAAAAAAAUUUGGUCCAUUCACAAGACUUCAGUCCUGACGCAUACCUCAAAACUCUCUGCAUCAAAAUGUUGCCUGAGACGGAGUUUCUUUUUCAUAUUUCUCACUGACUUAGCGUGGACUACGGGCAUCACGAAUAGCCGAACAGUUAUUUCAGUAUUCGAAUACUUUUGCCCCAAAAUGGCUAAAAAGGUAUUCGAGUAACUAUUCAAAUAAUUGAACCUGACAUUGCAAGUUUGCUUUAUUUGACUGGAUAAUUGACAGUAUUUUACUUGUGUUUCCCAACAAACGGAAAACGAAGGGUCACUCGUCUUUAAUUGUUCCAAACGUGGCCUGUUUUUCUAUUAGUUCUAACAUGAAGCUGUGCUGUGUAAAUAUUCACAUGUAUUUGAGAUACCAAAGGGUGUCCCUGCACUCAAAUACACCGUUAAUCAAAAUACUGAAUAAUCCCGUUCAUGUUAAUGACUCAGGCACAUUUCAAACACAACAUCUGUUUAGCUCUAUGGUUUUGUUACUGUAAAAUCCCUGUCCACAUGCUUGCUUGCUCAUGAGCACAUAUUCGCUCGGUGUGCACAAAUUGUCCUUCUUCUUUCCUGGGUUUCACUGGAGAGAGAUAGUGUUUCUGUUAUUCUAGUUCUUUCAAAUGUUCUUUGUUUGUUUCCCCAUUACACUUAUGUGCAAUGUCUCCUUUAUUUAAAUCUCACUGUGUAAAGCUUUCAGUCAGGUAGCGACACCUUGUAUGAUUAUUUUCUUCUUCCUGUAAAAAAAAAAAAUGACCUUAUGAAGGAGGAAUCUCUCUCUCUCUCUCUCUCUCUCUAUAUAUAUAUAUAUAUAUAUAAUAAAAUAAAAAAAGACUGUUAUACUCAACUCAUUUUAUCUUCUUGAUUUGUAAACUGAUGUGUAUAUUUUAAAACAAAUAAACCUAUUUUAAAUCUAAAAUUAGAUUCUUUUGGUGGAGUCUUUACAAUAAUUUACAAUGAUCUUGUCUCUGGAAGUGAUGUGUCUGUGUCAGAUGUAAUACCCGAUACACGUGCAGUCUGCUUGGGGUAGAAAUUCUAUUAAACUAUUACUACAGACUGUCUCAAAAGUCUCCACCUAUAGGGGACUAUGCAUUUCAGCACCAUGUGCGUUGUUCCUUCAUCAGUGGAUGUUGGUGGACGUGCACUUCUCAGCUGCUCCGUGACACUGCCAGUCUUUUUGAACUUGUUAAUAGCAGUGGCAGCAGUGGCGUGCGUGCGUGUGUGUGUGAUGUGCUUGUCAUAUUUGUUUCAUGUUCAAGUCCAGCGCAACCUUGCG